GCCGGCUCGCUAAUGGUGGACGCGUGAGGCGGAGGCGCGGGCGGAGGAGGGAGGCCGGAGCGGGCAGCGCGGCGGCGCCAUGUCCGUGAACAUGGACGAGCUCAAGCACCAGCGUUGCUGUUCCUUGCAGAGAAAAGGAUUGUGGGAAACUCCAGGACUCUUCCCACCGCCUCCCAGCGCCUGCCUGCUGGGGCUGCCUGCAUGCCUCCCCUGCACCUGGGGGUACCCGCAUCCACUUCCUUUCCCCCUUUUAACAAAAGAGAAGAACGAAUUCCAAACCA
rnacentral:lncRNA from 1 species